UACGAAGGGGCUAGCGUUGUUCGGAAUUACUGGGCGUAAAGCGUGCGCAGGCGGCUUCUCAAGUCAGGGGUGAAAGCCCAGAGCUCAACUCUGGAACUGCCUUUGAGACUGAGAGGCUUGAGUACGGGAGAGGUGAGUGGAAUUCCCAGUGUAGAGGUGAAAUUCGUAGAUAUUGGGAAGAACACCGGUGGCGAAGGCGGCUCACUGGCCCGUAACUGACGCUCAUGCACGACAGCGUGGGGAUCAAACAGG
rnacentral:rRNA from 1 species